rnacentral:rRNA from 1 species
GGCCUAUCAGCUAGUUGGGGGGGUAACGGCCCACCAAGGCGACGACGGGUAGCUGGUCUGAGAGGAUGGCCAGCCACAUUGGGACUGAGAGACGGCCCAGACUCCUACGGGAGGCAGCAGUGGGGAAUCUUGCGCAAUGGCCUAACGGCUGACGCAGCGACGCCGCGUGAGGGAUGACGGCCUUCGGGUUGUAAACCUCUGUUGCCCGGGACGAACAGCCCGUUUCGACGGGUCUGACGGUACCGGGUGAGGAAGCACCGGCUAACUCCGUGCCAGCAGCCGCGGUAAUACGGAGGGUGCGAGCGUUGUCCGGAAUCACUGGGCGUAAAGGGCGCGUAGGCGGUCGGGUAAGCGUGUGGUGAAAGUCCGGGGCUCAACCCCGGAUCGGCCGUGCGAACUGUCCGACUUGAGCACUGUAGAGGCAGGUGGAAUUCCGGGUGUAGCGGUGGAAUGCGUAGAGAUCCGGAAGAACACCGGUGGCGAAGGCGGCCUGCUGG